CUUCUUGAAUUGAUAUGAAGUCGUGCCUGCCCACUGAUUUAUUAAAUGGCCGCGGUAUAUUGACCGUGCAAAGGUAGCAUAAUCAUUAGUCUUUUAAUUGGAGGCUGGAAUGAAUGGUUUGACGAAACAAUAACUGUCUCAGGAUAAUUAAUUGAAUUUUAUUUUUAAGUUAAAAAGCUUAAAUGAUGACAGGGGACGAGAAGACCCUAUAGAUCUUAAUAUUAUUAUAUUAAAAUAUAUGUUUGGGAGUAAUUUUGUGUAUUUUAUUAUGUAAUGUUUUGUUGGGGUGACAAGGGAAUAAUUUAACUUCUUUAUAAUUUACUGUGAUGGUUGGUUAAUUGAUCCUAUUAUUAUGGAAUGAAGAUAAAGAUACCUUAGGGAUAACAGCGUAAUAUUGUUGGAGAGUUCAUAUUGAUAAUAAGGAUUGCGACCUCGAUGUUGGAUUAAGAAAAUUAUUGGGUGCAGGAGCUUAAUAUAUUGGUCUGUUCGACCAUUAAAUUCUUACGUGAUCUGAGUU
rnacentral:rRNA from 1 species